rnacentral:rRNA from 1 species
GUGGGGAAUCUUGCGCAAUGGGCGAAAGCCUGACGCAGCCAUGCCGCGUGAAUGAUGAAGGUCUUAGGAUUGUAAAAUUCUUUCACCGGGGACGAUAAUGACGGUACCCGGAGAAGAAGCUCCGGCUAACUUCGUGCCAGCAGCCGCGGUAAUACGAAGGGGGCUAGCGUUGCUCGGAAUUACUGGGCGUAAAGGGCGCGUAGGCGGACAGCUUAGUCAGAGGUGAAAGCCCAGGGCUCAACCUUGGAAUUACCUUUGAUACUGGCUGUCUUGAGUUUGGGAGAGGUGAGUGGAACUCCGAGUGUAGAGGUGAAAUUCGUAGAUAUUCGGAAGAACACCAGUGGCGAAGGCGACUCACUGGCCCAAUACUGACGCUGAGGCGCGAAAGCGUGGGGAGCAAACAGGAUUAGAAACCCCUGUAGUCC